CACCACUCAAGCCUGGCUUGGUAUUGGGCACCGCGGUCCCGCCGCGCGCCCUAAUGUCUCCGGCUGAGCCGUCUGUUCUCCAGCGUUGUGGUUACAUCAUCCGCUGCCGGGACACGACGGUUCAUCGCCGUUAAACCCUUUUUUCUUAA
rnacentral:misc_RNA from 1 species